UUUACUCAGGUAUGAUCCAAUUCAAGGGCAUUGACAGGUAGGGAGUUUGACUGGGGCGGUACAUCUCUCAAAUAAUAACGGUGUCCCAAGGCCAGCUUAGUGCGGACAGAAACCACACAUAGAGCAAAAGGGCAAAUGCUGACUUGAUCUCGGUGUUCAGUGCACACAGGGACAGCAAAAGCUCGGCCUAUCGAUCCUUUUGGUUUAAAGAGUUUUUAACAAGAGGUCUCAGAAA
rnacentral:ncRNA from 1 species